rnacentral:lncRNA from 1 species
AUCUGACGCUCAGGCUCCGCCCCCUGCAUGUCUUUGUUGGCAAACAGUUCUGGGGGUCGUCCGAUCCUGCAGAGACCGUCCAGGCUGGACUUGAACUCCUUCCUCGGCUGAAGUGAUCCUCCUGCCUCAGCGUCCUGAAUAGGAAGUGGAGCCAGAAUCCACAGAUGUCAUUAUCCAUCUGCACACUUUGUUUACUACCCAGAAGGCAAGAAUAUUGCAUUUUAAAAGUGCCCGGACUUUUGUUCUUUCUUAUCACAAAUGACUUGGGAAGCUCCGACCACUCAUGUUUACCCCGAGUGAAAGUCCCAUUCAAAGCCUUGCUUCCUGGAGAGCUUUGAGAUUCUGGUACAAAAGGCAUUUUAUAAGCACAAAGUGGAAAAGCAUCAUUCAUAUUCAUUUGCUGCUGCGGCAUUUCUCCCUGGAAUCUUCCUCUUGUCUGUCAACAUUGGGCAAAAGGACUGGCCUCAUCUACAUUACAGAUAUCCUUGUGAUGGUCUGGAGGUAGGAAAAGGACACCCAGCACAAGAGUGAGAAGGGAAACUCAAGCUCUCCUGUUGGAGAGUCUCAGGCUUCUUUAUCCAUAAAACUGAUUGGACAUAAUUGGUGUGGGUUUAUGAUUUGUUUUGGAAAAACCUGAGUAUGAAAUCAAUACUGUGCUUUGUGCA